CAAGUACUCCAUACGUCCGAAAUUACUUGUCAUCAAAAUGGAUGUGUCUAGAACUAAAAUACAUCUAGAUACAUCCAUUUCAAUGACAAAGUAUUUUCGGACGGAGGGAGUACAAG
rfam:Triticum aestivum genome assembly, contig: Triticum_aestivum_CS42_TGACv1_scaffold_094015_2AL